GAUAGAAGUCUUAAGUCACUGUACAAAGAGAAAGAUAUAAAAAUUUAAAAAGAUACAAUGACUUUCCCAUAGCUAACAAGGAGCCAGCAUGGGUCCAAGUUUUGGCAUCGAUUUGGGGAAAAUGCUUUCAAACUCUAAAAUCCUAUAAAGAUGGGGAAAAUAAUUACUAAUAAAGGCCUACUACGGCCUUUUAUAUGACAGUGUAACUGGAUCUUGGUUCAUGCUGCGCUUAAAAUUUGAUCUUCUGAAUAUCAUCAGAAAGACUCUGGUGAAUACAGGUCUUCUGAGCAAUUAUCAGCUGACUUUGUCGUUAGACUGCCCUUUCAGAAGGUACAAAAAAAGAAAAAGAAAAUUACUAUUGUGAAGUCUGAGCAACUGGGAAGAAAUGCAAGGCGAAAUGAAAUGGUGAAGUUGUCAGUGACAUGAAUCUUUGCUCCCUUCUUCAUGGAAUAUUUCUGAUCUAAUAGCCCCUACAUUUCAAAAGAUGGAUAUAAACAUCAGAUGAAUAUUACAGGAAAGCUGGAUUGCUCUGCAGUGAGUGAAACAUGGAAAGGCCUUUCCCCACCAAGCAGUAGGCCAAAUUGUAACAGUAAGAUGUAUUCGAAAUAAAAUGGUUCAUAG